UCUGGUUGGUGAUCCCUCUCUUGUGGAGUUUUCCCCGUGAGCCUGCAUCUUCAGAGAUGGGACUGCCACUUUCCUUUCCCCUUGCUCUUCUCCCCUCGUUUUUGUCUUGAGGAAUACCUGGGGAAGGUCGCUCAUAGGAUCCCUGGAGCGUGGUACUUUGCUUUCAGAACUGCUUUGCAGGCCAUUUAGGAGGAAGCACAUGCAACCUCAGAAGUUAAUUUUCAGCUGAGCAAGAAACUUUGCUCUCCAGGGGAACAAGGAAGUACAUGACUCCAAAGGCUUUGGACAAGCACCAGCCAUCAAGAAGAUCGAAACAGUCAGCUGUCUAGCUGUACUCCAUACCCAGUGCCAGGAAGGAGACUAUUAACUAUGCCUCAGGUGGGGAAUGUUCCUGCAUACCACAAACACCAGCACAGCAGGGGGUGCAGAAAAGUUAAUUUUGGGUGGGAGAAUGAAGAUUCUUUGGUGCGAAUUCCAGGUCACUGAAAAAGAUUAUAUUACACCAGAAUGCAUGGGCUGGUAUCUCUGCUGUCCUGCUGCUGUGCUAAUAGAGAGCAGUUGGCCACCUAUGAGUGCCUUGAGGUCCACAGCCACAUGCUUAAAGUAACAGCAAGACUGGACUCUCUGUGCUUUGUUUGAAUAGCGAUUUGAAGAAGAGUGUGAGAUCAGUCUCUGAGGAGAAGGAGGGAGGAAGAGAAUUACAGAAUAGACUGCAGAAAGGGGGAACAUGGGGACGAAGGCUUCCUGGGAAAUAGCAAAGCUCAGGUUAUAUCUUAGGGAAAACUCCCAAGGUCUUGAGGACAAGAAAACAGCUGACAAAAGCUCAAAGGGACAAAGAUGCUGCCUUGUGGAAGAAGAAUGUGAACUACACGUGGGUACUGGAGACUGGACCUUCCCCCGAGGAUGUCUGUCAUCCUGUCUACACAAUGUCAAUAAGCAGAUGAAGGAUCAUGGUCCUUCUUUUUGUUUCAAGACUGGCCUGCUGAGCAUGUCAUAUCACCUGACCUAGGUCAACCAUGGAACCUGUGUCAGAGUCAGGGACUGAAAGUUUCCUUAGCUGGUAGUCAAUACCUUAAUUGGAAAUAUAGUUAGGUCAACUCUGUACUGUUACAGUGUACAUACAGCUCUACUGCUUGGAACUGCUUGGGAUUAUAUUGCUGGGACAUGGGGCUCUUUCAUUUCCAGUGUAACAACUUGCGGUCAGCUAUGCUGGCCCAUCAGCUUGCCCUGCUUUGCUUCUGGUGCUCCCAACACAGCAAUCAGCAACUCGGGAAUACCUGGACCCAAGGUGCUAUGUUUGUGUUACUAGUAUCAGUAAUAGUGGCUUUGAACCGCUGCGCAUCAACAAGGCAGUGUCCUAACUUCACAGAAGAUUUUCUUCCUUCCUUCAAGAGAUUAUCUUGUCAGAUUAGACAUGACUAAGAGAGAAAUGGGAUAUCUACUCAUGUAAGGGACUAUAGGGAAGAGAAAGCAAAAAGUUGGUGGGAUAAUUUGGCUGGGACUACAGUAAGUAUAAAACAGUAAAAAAGGGAAAAUGAAGGUAAGAGUGGGGAAGAGGUAAAGGAGCAGAGGAUAUAGCAGCAGAGUGAAGUGAGCAGGAGGUCAGUUUGCCUUCCUAGUGUGAAUCAGAAUUGUGGAAUUUGUGAGCUAAGCAGAAGGGUCCAGGAGAUGAGAGGAGGGGGAAUGAUAUGGAAGGGCAGCACAGGUUGUGGACAAAGGGGACAGAGGUAGAGAAACCAAGUGGGAGAGGAAAUAAAGCUGAGAAGACCUGUUACAGACAAAGAGGAAAAGAAGUGCUGGAGAUGGUGGCUUUAAGCUGGAGACGGUUAUGUAUUUUAGACAAGUGGAACUGUGUGUUGGAAAGACAAGCAGAGGUACAGUUUCAAGCAGUAUGAAGAGUCAGGUGAGGAUGAGGAAGAGAGUUUGGCUUACUGAGAAGUCCAAGGGAUUUAGAACUGCAAACUAGGGGAAUAGAGUGAAAUGGGAAGCCCAAAGAUGGUGUAUUUAAAAAAAAAUAAACUGGAGUGGGAAUUGGGAUUCUAGCAAAAUGCUCAUUUUUGAGGAUACGUCAGCAACCAGGGCUUCUUCUGGUAGAAGACCUGACCAGAGGCAGCAGUCACUUAGGGAUACUUCUGCUGCUUUUGUGCCAGCUUAAUUCACAGGAGGAACAACCAAGAGUCUGUGGGAACAGUGAACAGGCAUUCAUUUACAGCAGCCUCUCCCUACAGAUUAGUGUCGUGAGCAGUCCAACAUGUGGAUGCUGUGCCUGAAAGUGAGUAGGUUAUGGGGCUCAACCUCUGAAGUGGAGCAGCAGAAAUAGUUGUAAGGUUAUGCUGUGUGUAUGGAUGGAUGUAAUGUAAGAUCAUACGGAUACUUGAAUGUUAAGUUUCCAGCCACAUUAAUUUUCAGUGAAUAUUACGUAGCAGGACUUCAAGCAGAGCCAUCAGAAGAGGCUCUUCAAAUCUUAACUGCUUUCUGGUCUGUAUCUUCCCCGUGCCCUUAUCACAAUACUCUCCAAAUUCAGAGUGAAUUAUUUUAUAUUGCUCCCAUCCAGUGCUGACAGAGAUUCCAUAGAUUUUGCUGAGACUGUACAUACUCUUCUGGAAGAUAAUUUCCUUCCGUCAAUGUGAAAGAUCUCAAAAGGCCAGAUGCCUGGGACAAAGUUAGGCUGUCUGAAGGCCUGUCUGCUUGGCCAGAGAUCCCACUGCUGCUUUUGAUAUGGCUUAUCAAGGUGGCCAUUUUCUUGUUUCUUAGAAGUGAAGGGAAGGUGUGGAAGGCCACUUUCUAGAAUGCACUGGGGUCAAUGAGGGCCUGACUUGGUCAACUUCAACAGGCUCUGGAUCAGGUCUCUAAUGACUGUUUGUAUGUAGGAUGGCAUGAGAAGGCUCAGAAGGGAUGUGGCCUAUGGCAGGAUCACUGCAGAGAAAGGAUGGUGCUUUACUGGGGGUGGAAAAUGGAAUUGUCACCGUGGAAUGAAUGAAUUGUACAGUUUCUCUUUUGUAACCCAGGGAAUAAUUAAGAUAGAUGGGUAGAUGAAUUAGCUGUCCUGCAAGGUCAAAAGUGGAUUGCCUUAUUACUCUAUUAUUUCACUGUUGUGGAACUAUCACCACUAACGCCUUUUUCAUGAUAUUUUGUACAUCG
ensembl:lncRNA